AAUCAACGCUGGCGGCGUGCCUAACACAUGCAAGUCGAACGCGAAAGGGGCUUCGGCCCUGAGUAGAGUGGCGAACGGGUGAGUAACACGUGGGUGACCUACCUUCGAGUGGGGGAUAACGUCCCGAAAGGGACGCUAAUACCGCAUGACAUCCCGCCUUUGAACAGGUGGAGAUCAAAGCUGGGGAUCGCAAGACCUGGCGCUUGAUGAGGGGCCCGCGUCUGAUUAGCUAGUUGGUGAGGUAACGGCUCACCAAGGCGACGAUCAGUAUCCGGCCUGAGAGGGCGGACGGACACACUGGGACUGAGACACGGCCCAGACUCCUACGGGAGGCAGCAGUGGGGAAUUGUUCGCAAUGGGCGCAAGCCUGACGACGCAACGCCGCGUGGAGGAUGAAGGUCUUCGGAUUGUAAACUCCUGUUGCCCGGGACGAAUGGCUCCGACCUAACACGUCGGAGUGUGACGGUACCGGGUGAGGAAGCCCCGGCUAACUCUGUGCCAGCAGCCG
rnacentral:rRNA from 1 species